AAAUCAAAAUGGCGGCGUUUUUGUGUAGUCGCUUGAAUUUGGUUGGAAAUUUGUACAGUUUUCCUAAAGUAUGUCAAUCGGUCCUUUCUGGAGGCAAUAACCGGUAACAUUUACCGCCUGUAGUACCUCUUAUUACCGGUUAACAUUGCUUGGAAUUCUUGAAAAUUCAACAUGUGAAAGUAUUGCUUUACCAGUUUGAAAAUGUAUUUUACCUGUCAUGCUUAAAAUAAGGGAGAACACUGAAUAUACACAACUGCCCAAGUCUGUAAGAGACAGUUUAGUUUAAGUGGGAAAAUCUGCGGUAGCCGAAUUUCCACUUAUUGUCACGGUGAAUAUACAACGAGAUCUUUCUGGAAACUAAAAUUUUUUACUUCGAGACACAAUUUUUUUUGCCUUUUUAUUUUGCUUUCCAAGUUGAACAAGGAGCCCUGCAGUUGAUGAAUAUUAGAAUUAGGUAUAUACCACACAGGUAAAUAAUGCCUUUUGCAUGAGCUGAUUGGUCAGUUCGGAAGUAAUUAGCAAAUGCUAUUCACUUCCGAGCAGCCAAAGAGACCUAAUUGCGAGUCAAAUGUUUAAUAUCCAACCACUCUUUUGGUAUAUUGCCAGAAGUAAACUAAUUUUUUGGUGGUAUAUGCUAAAACAAUUAUUCACCCCAGUUUCAGUAAAAGUGGUGGAUAUUUACCUCCACUUCCCUCAUAUCAACAUUGCUUAAUUCCAUUUCUGAUAAAGCAGCAGUGGAAAAGUGAUGAUCUCUCAUCAAAAUGUUUAAUUUUUUGGAUGUUAAAACAACUCUUUUGCGAUAUAUUUUCCCUAUAGCAACUUGCAAUGUUUGCCCCUUCUGCUCACAACACAAGGGUCUGAUUACUGUAUUUACCUGUGUAUAAUACGCACUUUAUUUCUAUAAAAAUAACCACCAACAUUGUAGUGCUUAUUAUACAUGGAUUCUAUUAUUUGUCAGGUGCGUCCUAAUUUGUAUAUGUUAAAAGCACAACAAAGAAAGUAACAAAAGUUUCAUAGGAACUGGUCUUUUUUAGCUUGAUUCAAAUAAUCUACCUAUGAAAAAUUUGCAAUUUCAAUCCAUGAAAAAAAUCUAGUAGAGUAUAACAAACAGCUGUCUAGAUAGACAUCACAAUCACACCAUAUUAUUGUAAUCACAAGCAAUUAUGAAUUUGAUAUGGCAACAAAACUUAUCGUGGUUAUAUGUCGAAGCUACACCAUUUCUGAAAAGCUCAGAAUUAUCCAGUUUGCAGAGCAGACUAGAUUUUUUGUAAAUACAAUGUAGAUUUUUGCUGAGCUUCAAUAUUGGUUAUAAAUAACUAAGUAACAAAAGAUAUCAGUGUUAACGGUAUAGUAUAUUACUUGUUCUUGUUGUCUUAAUAAAUAAUUGUACAAAGA